rnacentral:rRNA from 1 species
UACGGAGGGUGCAAGCGUUGCUCGGAAUCAUUGGGCGUAAAGCGUGUGUAGGCGGCCUGUUAAGUCGGGUGUGAAAUCCCUGGGCCCAACCCAGGAACUGCGUCCGAUACUGGAAGGCUUGAAUCCGGGAGAGGGAUGCGGAAUUCCAGGUGUAGCGGUGAAAUGCGCAGAUAUCAGGAGGAACACCAAUGGCGAAGGCAGCUCGCUGGGACGGUACUGACGCUGAGGCGCGAAAGCGUGGGGAGCAAACAGG